GACGAACGCUGGCGGCGUGCUUAACACAUGCAAGUCGAGCGGUAAGGCCCUUUCGGGGGUACACGAGCGGCGAACGGGUGAGUAACACGUGGGUGACCUGCCCUCAGCUCUGGGAUAAGCCUGGGAAACCGGGUCUAAUACCGGAUAUGACUCCAUGACGCAUGUUGUGGGGUGGAAAGCCUUGUGCGGCUGAGGAUGGGCCCGCGGCCUAUCAGCUUGUUGGUGGGGGAUGGCCUACCAAGGCGACGAUCAGUAGCUGGUCUGAGAGGAUGAUCAGCCACAUUGGGACUGAGACACGGCCCAAACUCCUACGGGAGGCAGCAGUGGGGAAUAUUGGACAAUGGGCGAAAGCCUGAUCCAGCCAUGCCGCG
rnacentral:rRNA from 1 species